AACAAAGGACUUUAUUAAUUUUAGUCUUACUGUUGCCGGCGGCGAAAUCAAAGUUCCUGACAAAAGUACUAGACCAGGAAGAAAGCUAGUGGGCGAAUUAGUCAGCGUGUGCAAUGAGCCCCACUCGAAGCCUAUUAUAAUUCCACGUAUUCGACGUAUAGCACCUCAUCAAUACAGACCAAACUUCGGUAUGUUUAGAAUCAUCUGUCCUAGCAACAUCACCGGCUGUGAUAAACUUGACUUUCAUGUGAGGCAGUAUUGGGAAAUGGUCACUGCACCUCAUUAAAUACUUAAGAGACAGUCAAAAUUAUAGUGAUUAGAAUUGGAUUCUUGUCUCGAUUAAAAAUGUAGAAUUA